AGAAUGAUGACUCAUACAGUUGUUGCAGCAAUUAAGAGAUUAAGAGGGAUGUUUCAUUGUUAUAAUGGAAAGGGGAUAGAGAAUUAAAGAGCUCUGCUUACUGUCAUGAUGGAUUAUAUGCACGCAGCAGAAGAGGAAAGAAGUACCGCUGACAGGAAGACCUAGGGUCUUUUUUAGCCAGAGGUCUCUAUAGACAUGCCAUCAAUAGUAAUGGCAACCGCAGUGUAUCAUCGUGACGAUGUGCUUAAUCAGGGCUCAGGUGUUGAGGAUGUAGACUUGGGAGAGCCCCUUGUUGGUGUGCUUAAGGCAUCCUGGUUUCAGUCAGGUCAGGUCCCCUCACCUAAUACUGGCCUGAGGCCCAAGACCAAGAUACAAGGACUGAGGCUGUCUGAAGAACCAUGCAUGAUCAUUUAUGCUGAAAAGAAAAGAAAUUAGAAGCUUUUGUUGCACAGAAUGGUGGAUAAAGAUUGCGAAUUUGCACAGCUAUAAAGCUUACUAAUUAAAGACUACAAACACAAAGAGAGCAAGCCUUGUGAUGACUGCACAAUAACGAGGAUUCAGAUACAACGUGGUCGCCACCUGACGCCCACCUCCACAAAAAGCCAUUCUCAAAAGGAGAGAGACAUUCAUAUCCAGAAGAGGGAGUCGGCUGUAGGGUAGAGAUGUUCGUCUGAAGAUUUCAAAGCCCACUGCUGAUUUAAGGUCAUUCACAUUCAGCCAUGAAGCUGCUCUGAAGACACAGGAACUGCAUAGCUCCCUACUGGGAAUGUCAAGGGCUGUGAAAGGUCUAAGGUUUUAUCCUACUUGCAACCAACAAGCUAUGCAGCCACAGUUUUAUGGAUGCUGUCAAAAGACAUGACACUCCUGGCACUUCAAAUGCAUCAAAGGUCCAGAGAGAAGCUUCUUCUGGUCACCUUGAUCUUGUGAUGCAAGGCAGGUGGGAGCAAGGGCUCCACCUCUGCAGACACAGAGAUGACGGGGUCGCCAUGCCGGCGUUUUAGUCCCGGUUUCCUCUGCUCGAGUAGUUGGUGGCCUCCUGCCUGUUCCCUAACAUAACUUCACUUUCCUUACCUGCAAAACGAAAUUAGUAUUUCCUCCCUCACAAGGUGCUUGAUGCCCUUCCCCUUGCGUUUACUUUGCCUGAGAGACUAUAUCAUAUCUAUGAUUUUGUGAAUGGGGCAAAAGGAAUUGAGAGUGUCAGGGUAUACCUUAUAAAUAAGCCACUAAAGGUUACAUCCUCAUUCCACAAACUGACCUAAACAAUUUGGCUGUCACUAAUAGAUUAUUUUGGUCAGUUAUGGCAUUUAGAGGGAGAAGAGAGAGUAUAUAUAUAUGGGUGGGGUGUGUGUGUAUGCGUGUGUAUGUGUGUGUUUACAGUCAAAAUACCAAAAUAUAUCUAUGUAUAUAAAUAUAUUUGCUUUCUUUGUUUUUGUUACAAUAAACUUGUACAUACAAUUCUGACACACAUAUUUUCAUAUGUAGGCACAAAAAUAGUCAUACAAAAAAUACCACAAAAGGUAAUAACAAAGUGGAAGAAGACAUAGGAACAGAGAACAAACCAACACAUAGAAAAAGUAACAAACAUGGUAGAUACGAAUCCAGCUAUAUCAAUAAUCGCGUUAAACAUCAAUGGUCUUAAAUAUACUAGACAGUGGAAUAUUAUUCAGCAUUGAAAAGAAAUGACCUAUCAAGCCAUGAAAGACAAGGAGGAACCUUAAAUGCAUGUUACUGAGUGAAAGAAGCCAAUCUGAAAAGGCUGCAUCCUGCAGGAUUCUGACUCUAUGACAUUCUGGAAAAGGUAAAACUACUAAGACAGUGAAAAGAUCAGUAGCUGCCAGGGGUUACGGGAAGGGGAUGAUGAAUAAGUGGGGCACAGCAUUUUGAGGAGGUGAAACUACUCUGUAGGAUACUGUAACAGUAAAUCCAUGUCAUUAUAUGUUUGUACACACCCAUAGAACACCAGGAGGACAGCACCAAGAGGGAGCCCUAGUGUGAACUGUGGACUCUGGUUGGUAAUGAUGUGCCUGUGAAGCUUCAUUGUUUGCAGCAAAUGCAUCAGUGUGGUGGGGGAUGUUUCUAAAUUGAUAAUGAAGGACGCCAUAGGUGUAUGGGGGCAGAGAGUUUAUGAGAAAUCUGUACCUUUUGCUCAAUUUUACUGAACAUAAAACUGCUGAAGCCAUCAUUCUCAGCAAACUAACCCAGGAGCAGAAAACCAAACGCCGCAUGUUCUCACUCAUAAGUGGGAGUUGAACAAUGAGAACACAUGGACACAGGGAGGGGAACAUCGUCACACACCGGAGCCUGUCGCAGGGUGGGGAGCUGGGGGAGGGAGAGCAUUAAGACAAAUACCUAAUGCAUGUGGGGCUUAAAACCUAGAUGAUAGGUUGAUAGGUGCAGCAAACCACCAUGGCACAUGUAUACCUAUGUAACAAACCUGCACAUUCUGCACAUGUAUCCCAGAACUUAAAGUAAAAUAUAUUAAAAAAAUUAAAGUCUAUUUUAAAAAAAGAAAAACAAUCAGCUAACCUACUUUGGUAGCUCUGUUCUGCGCUGUCGGGUCUUCCAUCCUAGCGUGUGACACAGGAGGGUUUCGCUGGCAGGACCCGCCCACUGCACAUGCAGGUUCAGGUGACAGAGACCUCUGGAAAGAUGAGGCCCGUGGGAGCAGGGGGCUUCUUGUUGACACUGAAGGUCAGGCUUCAGGAAUGCCAGGGGCUCAUAAAAUCUUUUUCACUGAACAUUAUGCUGAGCAGGAUUCAUUUUACCAGUGAAAAAAUAUUUCUGACAUCCUUUGUGCUUUUUAACAAAGCCUGUGGUGUGGAUUUGCAUGAUUCUUAGAUUGCUGAGUAACCACUUCGGGAGGGUUCUUGAUUAGGGCACUAAAAAUGUUAACACAACACCCGUGGGAUGUAGAUUAAGGUCAACUUGUCCUUGUGCGUCUCUCCUAGUGUUGAUGGCAGAGUCUUAGUAUUUCAGCUGACGAAAUCUCUGCCCAUUCUCUUCCAAUGUUCCCUAAUAAGCUACAGGAGGACAGAGACAAAAGUUUGACUUCAUUAGUAACUUUUGGAAGUUGCCCAAUUUAGGAAAAAGAGUUAAUAAAUCAGGAAUUUUAUAAGAACUUUUUGUUAAAUCUGUAGUUAUUCAAAUCAGCCUCAGCAUGAUAAGACAACACUACAGGUUAUUAUAAAUAGUUGAAAAAGAAAAAUUAAAUUCCAACCAAACAAUUGAUCCUUAACUUUUUUUUUUUUUGAGA
rnacentral:lncRNA from 1 species